rnacentral:sRNA from 1 species
UUCACUAACCCUUUAUUCGAAUUUAUACCUGGGGGGUUAGAAGGUUUUCCUACAACUGGAAAAGACACAACACCUAUUCCAGCACCUUUCGCAGGUCUUUUUGCAGGACAGGCUUAAAGAGGUCAUCCAUACCCUCAAUAGCAGCCAGCACCACAGGGACAACCAGCCCCAAACAUACCACCCUAUGGACCAAGAGGACCCCAAGCACAAGGUUGUCCACUAAAUCCUGUGUUUGUUCCUCCAGUAGUGGUUCAACAGGCACAAAAUAUGGUCCCUAGGGACCAAAUUAUUGACAUUGUUAGAGAGAUG